rnacentral:rRNA from 1 species
CAAGUCGAGGGGCAGCACGUCUUCGGAUGGUGGCGACCGGCGCACGGGUGCGUAACACGUAUGCAACUUACCUUUAACUGGGGAAUAGCCCCGAGAAAUCGGGAUUAAUACCCCAUAAUAUUCAUCUUUCGCAUGUCCGAUGAACUAAAACUCCGGUGGUUAAAGAUGGGCAUGCGCGACAUUAGUUAGUUGGUGAGGUAACGGCUCACCAAGACCGCGAUGUCUAGGGGUUCUGAGAGGAAUAUCCCCCACACUGGUACUGAGACACGGACCAGACUCC